AGCUUUCCUUCCCUUCAUUAAGGUACUACGACUCACCACAACAUGGUCGCCGGCUGCUGCACCAACGAGGUGACGGUCAACGUCAGCGUCCACAGGAUGUGGAAGGCGGCCGCCUGCGAGGAUCACAUCCUGCUGCCAAAGAUCAUUCCUCAGUACUUCGCUGGCGCAGAGCUCGUCGGCGAUGGCGAAGCUGGCAGCACAAAGACCUUCCACUUCACUCCAGGUUUAGAUUUUGAUGCUGCUUUCCGACAUUCGUGUGCGUGCGAGAAGAGAUCGCAAAACAAGGAUAAAAAAUAAUCUCACAUCGAUAAAAAGAAUCGGAUGAUACAUAUCGAAACCUUUUUGGUUGAAUUGAUGUAUGAUCUGUUAAUUGGAACUAAUUUGGCUAUUGUUGCGAUCCAUCGAACUGCAGCCGCAGAGCCACUGACCUUCGUGAAGGACCAUGUUGAGGUGUUGGACCACGGAAGCCACACGAUGAGGUACAAGGCGAUCGAAGGAGGUCACCUCGGCCGCACGCUCAAGUCGCACGCGUUCGAGGUCAAGUUCGAAGCGGCGGGCGCCGACAGCUGUGUCGUGAAGACCAAGACAGAAUACGAUACGAUCGACGACGCGCCGCUGCCGGAGGACGAGGUGCAGAAGAUGACGGACGUGCCAGUACGGAUGAUGAAGUCGGUGGAAGCCUAUCUGAUAGCCAACCCCGGUGUUUGUGCCUGAGCCCCUGAGCCUCUGAGCCGGUGGGCUUUCGUGUACCGACGUUGGUGCUUCCAGUGUCGUAGUGCUUGUCAUUGGGCGUGGAUCAAUCAAUAAUGAGGUGAUGCAGCAGUGCUGGAAUCAUCACCUUUAGAGUGAGAGAGUGAGAGAGUGAGAGAGAGAUAGGACAUGACAUGUUGAUGCCAUCUCUCUCUUUGUCUGUUCUUUCCAUCUUCUGCAAUGUGGUGUUUUGUGUGGUCGUUGAAGGACAUAUAUCUACAAAUAAGAUGUGAUUUCUUUGGUAUCAUGUAAUCCUUCUUUUUUGGUAUCAUUCUUAGUAGUCUCUUUUAAAGAUUCAAAGACUAGCGUAAUCCAAAUUAAACAUGGAUUUAAUUGAUUUUACUUAAACUAUAUGAUACGUUUAUAAUGUUUGUUCGUAACGAGUCAACCUUCUCGUAAUUUUAUUUACUCUCAUCCAUAAAUAAAUCAGUUACCGAUAAAUGAAUGCAUGAACAAACAAAUCGAUGUCACCUUAGUAAAAUAUACCUUGGGAUUAUAUAACUAAAAUUGAACAAAAUACCUUCUUAGACGACUAAAAUGGAUGCAUUUUGCUGAAAGAUUUUACGAUAAAAAAUUGAAGGUUAAUUCGUCGUCCAUAAAGUUUAAGUACAUAAGUGAUAGGUUCAUCCAUCGUCCAUAAAGUUUAAGUACAUAAGUGAUAAAACUUCAUCCAAUCUUAUGUUUGUUCAAAAUUUAUAUAAUUAAAUUUGAACAAAAUAUCUUACUAAAAUGGAUGCAUUUUGCUUGCUCUGAAAAAAUUUUACGAUAAAAAAUUGAAGGCUAAUCCAUCGUCAAUAAAAUUUAAGUACAUAAGUGAUAACGUAUCUUAGAACUUUCAUCCAAUCUUGUGUCGGUUCAAAAUUAAAUGUUAACAUGACAUGAGAUUUGACGUAAUAGUGAUGUGACCUUAUCUACAAACUCGAUAGAAACAAAUUAAUUCUUCUAUUUUUUAAGAUAAAUACUGGUAAUACGGCAACAUCAAAAAUAUUAUAUCGUACAAUUUGGUUCUUCCUCUUAGUUUCAAACAUGAAGCUCCACAAAGACGGCAAUAAAAUAAAAUUAACGAAGAAAAAUGCAACACGACAUCAACUCAUCGUGAUCUCACUCACCCUAACAAAGAAUAUAAUAAUAAACUACACCGUUGAAUGAACUGUUAAUUCUUUCAUUAAAUGCAUGAAAUACAUUUAUGGUGAAACUUUGUUUCUAACAUACAUACAUACAUACAUACAUACAUACAUACAUAUUUUAAUCUGACUAGCAUAUGCUUGAAGAAUCCGAUCAUUCUCGACUACGGCUGAUGAUGAUAUGGGGCUGCUCAACAAUGAAGACCGCAAAGUCUGCAUGCUUGUGAGCUUUGAAGUCUUCGCUUCAGUCAACAAAUACUAGCUAGUUUGAAUGCUUCCAAGUUUACCAUGACACCCACUUCUUAGAACAUUGAAUUGGGAUGAGGAUGCCAACAAGAGAAGAUGAACCGAUUCAUUGGCAUGGAGCGAUCUUCGCGUCAUCUCAGACCCCCCCCUUUUUCCAAUCUAAUCGAUGAGGUUACCUAAAGUUCAAACUUCAUCUGGAAGCCCGAGAUGACCCGGCACUCCAUCGCCGUCUAUAAAUGGACUCUUCCCCUUCCCUUCACCACCAACCCAUCACAGCCUGCAGAGCUCUCAUCCGGCAAAACACCUUCAUCGACGCCAUGGUUGCCGGGUGCUGCACCGAAGAGCUGACGCUCAAUGUCAGCGUCCACAGAGUAUGGAAGGCGGCCGCCUGCGAGGAUCACAUCCUGCUGCCAAAGAUCAUGCCGCAGUACUUCUCCGGCGCCGAGCUCAUCGGGGAUGGUGAAGCUGGCAGCACCAAGAUCUUCCACUUCGAUCCAGGUUUGGAUUCACAUCACCAAUGCUUCUUUCAGGUAACAGGAAGAUCCGUAAACUAUGCUGAUUUCAACUGGCAAUUCUGUGGAUGAGACUGCAGGUAUGAAGCCACUGAUCUUCGUGAAGAACCAUGUCGAAGUGCUGGAUCAUGGGAGCCACACCUUGAAGUACAAGACCGUCGAGGGAGGCCACCUCGGCCACACGCUCAAGUCGCACACCAUCGAGCACAAGUACGACGCCUUGAGCGCCGACACCUGCUCUCUGAAGAUCAAGGUGGAGUAUGAUACCAUCGACGACAAGGGGCUCCCCGAGGAGGAGGUGAACAAGAUCAAGGAGGGGUCGGUAUGGGUCGCCAAGG
rnacentral:lncRNA from 1 species